UGUCUUUUCCUUAAAAUUAUUUUGUGAAAAUUUCAGUGGCUAUGUCUCAAGUAGGCUGCUAAUUGAGGCAGUGUUGCCCAGUGGACAACGGUGCCUUCGGGGCAGAAGGUCGGGGUUCUAACCCCAGCCUUACUUGUUACAUGUAGUCUGAUCUUUGACAAGUCAUGCGACCUUUCUGAGCCUAAGUUUUCACUUCUGUAGAAGGUAGUAAUAGUGCCCAACCUCACAAAUUCAAAGGACUAUUGUUAUAAGGAACAAAUGAGAUGAUGUUUACAAACAUCUUAACCCUGUCUAUGAUGGACAUGGAAUAUUAAACCAGAAAAAGCCCUAGAAAAGCAGCAGGUGCAACUUUUUUAACCACAGGGGGACCUUUUGAUGGCAGAAGGCACAGGAAGCAAUGACAGAUGGAACAGACUUGAGUAACGGGAGAGAUUUUUCCAGACAACAUUUAACCUAGGAGUUCCUCUUUUCCUACUUCGAGCCAAGGACUCUUUAUCCCUCCCACCCUGACUGGGGUGGUGUUCACAUACCUUUCUCACAGGUGUUUAUAGGAGUGGUUCUGCAGACGGCAUUUGCAGAAUGGCUUAAUUUAAACACUCGUGUUAACCACAUUUCAGCAUUUGUGUGGAGCUUUUCAGCUGUCAGUGGGAACAAAUUAACUGGAGCAAUAGAAGUGCCGGUGCAGAAUCUGAGCUUGAAAAGCUGUACACGGUAAAGCCAUGUUGCCCUGUCACUCAGGUCUGCCCUUUACCCGCCAUGGCAGAGAUCUGAAGCUUUAAUCUCUGAUAGGAUAGACCAGAGGGCCUUUGGAUGGGGUACUUCAGUUUAUUUGUGGGUGUGGGCAGUAUAUCACGUCAACACUGUACCAUUUUAAAACAGAGACGACGUGACCAUAUGCACGCUACAUUCAGAACGAAGGGACCACUUGCCCUGGUCCUCCAGCGGGCCCACAGAACACUGGCCCAGGGCUCUCCCCUCUGGGCAGGAGAUGGAAGGCUGAGAGACUGAUCAGCCCAAGAGGAAAGACCCAAAUAUCCUGACAUCAGGGUUUUGCUCCAAAAGGCACCACCCAUACAAUGCUACAGUGAAGUUCAAAGUUGACAAAGCUCGUCAUAAGCUCAGAGCUUUCAAUGAGUUUUUCUUCUCUACUGGUUAUUGUGAGUAGAUGGCCAAAAAGUACUAGAUAUUUGAGAAAAGUCUCUCUCAUGGUAGGUUCGGAUGAAAAAAGCAAAUAAAUAACAGCAACUCAGAGACUGCAUAGACAAGGGAGGGUAAAAAAGAACCUAUUAUUAAAAUCCUCGGAGGGAAAGGAGAGGACACUGCAUCUCGGAUAAAGGAACAAGAGACUAUGAAAAAGAGACAUUCAGAGGCCACACAUGUGCUUCUGGAAAUUAAAAACUCAAUAGAAGAAAAGGAAAUCAUCUGGAAAGUACAGUAAAAAAAUACACAAAUGGAAACUAGAAUGGGAAUAUAAGGAAAUUAAAGGAUCAGUUCAGGAGAUCCAAUAUCUGAAUAAUGUGAGUCUCCAGAAUGAAAGGACAGAGGGAGCAAAGGAGAUGAAAUCACCAAAAAAUAAUUUAAGAAAAUUUCCCUGAAUUGAAGGAUCUAAGUUGCCAGACUGGAAGGGUCCAUUAAAUGUACAGCAAAAUGGAUAAAAAUAGGCUUACAACAAGGCACACAUUGUGAAAAUUCAUGACAGUGGUAACAAAUAAGUUUCUACAAGCUUCCAAAGAGAAAAAAAGAUAAGUCAAAGGGAUUGGAACGAAAAUGGCUUUCGACUUUUUAAGAGCAACAUUGACAGCAAGAAGAUAGCAGAACAGUGCCUUCAAAGUUGUGAAGGACAAUUAUUCCAUCUUGGAAUUCUAGCCCUAAACUAUCACUUCAGUUUAAGAGUGCGAAAACUACAGGCACACAAAGUCUCAGCAUCUUUAUGUCUCAGGCAACUUUGCUCAAGAAGCUCAUCUCAGGUAGGAUGUACUCUGCUAGAAAUGAGAGAAUGAACAAAGACAGACAUGGGAUACAGGAUUUAGGAUAUCCAGGUAGAAAGGAUGAGAUGAAGUCUCCCGGAGGACGGUGAAAGAUCCUAGACUGAGAGCUGUGCUUGCCGUGGCCAACCGUGCAGACUGGAGGAGUGGACCCGGGAGACAGGGUGAGUGCCGCCACCUGCAAGAUCUCACUGCCUUUUCUUUCAAACUGAGAACAGCACGUCUGAGGUUCGAGUCACCUUCUUGACUUGGCUUGUCUUGACCACAUGCUGAUGAAAUGCCUGCAUGUACUGCUGCUUAGAUCUGCUGAGGACGUUCAUUUCACCCCACAGAAUUGUUCAGUUUACACUUACUCCUGAGAGCUGGCAAUCAGUCGUGGGUUUAGAAGCAGAAAAUACUCAAUAGUCCAUUUGGAAGGCUGGAUGUCCCGCGCCCGGCCCACACUGCAGUCAUGACUGGUGCCCCACGAUGGCGAGCUCUGUUUCUGAAGACUCACUGACGAGACCUGGCCCUCCAGCCUUCACCAGAAGUAGCGGAAGUGGAAGCCAGACUGUGACUCAGAGACUGUUCAGCUUUGCUUUUCUUGGGAGCCUUCAUCUAAAAGAGGCCAUAUUGCCUGUUCCUUCCGUGACCAGGCGUGUGCUGAUUACUGAGUCUUUCAAAAUGCAAGAGUAUAUUAUUUAUGGAUACAUGCAUUCGUGCUACAAUUAUUUUUUAAAAAUGCAAAAGAAUGCUUAACAUUAGAGUCAAGAUAGUGGUUAAUUCUCCAGGGAGUGAGUGGAAAGCAGGAUGCAAUUAGGGAGGGACACACAGUGGUCUUUAAAAUGACUUCUAUUUCUUUUUUUUUUUUGAGGAAGAUUAGCCCUGAGCUAACAUCUGCUGCCAAUCCUCCUCUUUUUGCUGAGGAAGCCUGGCCCUGAGCUAACAUCUGUGGCCAUCUUUCUCUACUUUAUAUGUGGGACGCCUACCACAGCAUGGCUUGAUGAGCGGUGCCAUGUCUGCACCUGGAGUAGAUGCUGGAGUUGUGCUGAACCCCAAAGUGGAAGAUCUAAAGGGGCCUGUUCUUCACGGAUUGAGUCACGGGGAACAUCGAGAAAGAUGCGGCUACUUCUUCACCAACUGCUGUGCUGUGCUGAUGCUUUCGGCCUUAAUUCAGAUAUUACUGGGGGAAAAAGCCCCUAAUUAUAGUCGGUUACUGACUCAUAACCAUACUUUGCUCGUGGUUAUUUCCUCUAAGAAGAAAACAUGUGGUAUUUUUGCCUAAUGGGUGUGUGUGUCUGUAUGUCUGUGUGGUGUUUCUCUCUCCAGAAUGUCUUUACGUGACCUUCAGCCAGAGGGUGGGCCUUCCUAGGAGCUCUUUAAGUCGGCUCCAGCUGUGUACAUGGCUGUUGGAUCGCUUUAGCAGACACACCCAGGAUAUGGGUGUGGCUUUGAAAUGCCCAGCUCACAUGCGUGUCAUUUCACGUUACCUUCUGUGGUCAGUAGUAACUGAACAGGAUGCCGAGCUGACCUACUCCUCUGUGCUAGUCCUGACUGUUUAGGUUGCCGGGGACAGGAACCCAGGUCACAGAUUUAAAUCCAGACAGAUUUAUAGGCUCACUUAACGGCAUAGCAUCAGAGGAGAUCCAGGUACAGCUGGAGCCAGACGCUCUUAUAAAAUCAUUGACAGCUGUUUCUAUCUGCUUUCUUCCAUAUUGGCUUCCUUUCCAGGCAGGCUGUUCCCACUGUGCUGCCUGGAACAGCUACAGCUUGCAUUUUACCUGCUUAGUAAAUCCAGUAUAAAAACACCUCUUGCUCAAUAAUUUCAGCAAAAGUCUGGCGCUCUUAUUGGCCCAGCUAGGGACAUGUGGCCAUCCCUGAAGCGAUCACAUUGGCCAGGGUGACGGAGCGGUCUCACCGACAGCACACGCAUGCCCACCCCUUGUCUCGGGGAGGGACUCACAUCCACCACGUGACACGGGCUGAGAGCAGAAAGGUAGUUUGCAUUCUAGCAGCUGUUUGUACAGAGAAACAACCCUGGAGUUAAUUUUGAAUAACCAAAUUUUGCAUUUAGUUAUGUUUAGCAUAAAUUUUAGGUCUAAUUUAUGAACUACCGUUAUCUUCUGACCUAGCCAUAUUUUAUGAAUUUCCACACUUAAUGAAGACAGGCUUUAAAAACUUUGAGGUUUCCAAUUCAGACGAGUAAGAAAAUCUCUUUUACUAAAGAAAUUUGACAGCAAUGGAGGCUUUGUGUCUUUAUAUUGAAUGGGGAUAAAAAAACCUCAACAGAAGAAAUCUACUGUUUCUGAUAAAUCUCAAAGCUUAGUUCAGUCUGACCUCGGGUCUUCGGUCCGUUUGACUAAAUCAGCUCACGGUUUGGGUUUAGUUCAAAGGCUUGCACGUUUAGUCUUCUUACUGGAGGGAUUUCUAACACAGUACCUGGGAAAAGAAAGUGCUUUUGCAUCUAAGAAGUUUCUUCCAAAGUUUCUCCCUUGUUAAAGGGAGACUCGCAUUUCUGAUUUCCUAUUUUGCCUUUUCAGUGGGGGCUUAUGUUAUUCUCUUUCACCAAAAAGCGGACAAGACGUACUUGUUGGUUUCAAAUCCCGCGCUGACUCUGACUUUGCCUCUCUGUGCUUCCGUGUCCUCAUCUGCGGAAACCUCCUGCAUGAUAUUGCUACAUAAACUUCUUAGGACAGGGGCUGAUUAACCCCUUUAGGAGUGUUUGCUGCCAUGAUUGUUAUUUCAUGAGCUCUUGAAGCACAGAACCAUGGGCCUGAUUUGCUUCUGGUUGAGCUGGAAGCUGGGAGGGCAGAGGGCAGAUGCCUGAAGCGAAGCAGCCUAUUAAAAGUAGAAUAGAAAUAGACGAGAGGAAACCCAAGCGCUUUUCUCUUUAGAUAGCUAUCAAACCACGCUUCGCUGCAGACUCUGGGCUUGGUUAUGGCCAGAGAUCAAAGGCUCUCUUAUGUGCAAUGACAUUUCUGAGCACAGGGCUGAGUUAUAAAACUCUUGAAUGGAAGGUUUUGGCACUUGGAACAGCUUGGGAUAGAAAGGCAGGGUUUUCAUAGAGGCGAUUCACGGAACUGCUUAUGCUGGUGGAGGAUCCAGACCAUGAUGACUCACAUGUCUCUUUAUUGCUUUGGACCAAGAACUGUUGUUUCCUUUUAAGUCCCUCUGUAGGAGCCGAGCUACAGCCUAGGGCCAAGAUAACUCUUUCAGAAGGACAGUGUGGCUUCAGUGAGUGUGAACAGGAAUAUCCCUUUGUUGGACUCUCGGUUAAGCAUGCUGAACAAGCCAAAUAAGGAUUUUAUUUUUACCAAGGGAUAGACUUUCUUUUGGAAACUGGCAGCAUCCUUAAUGCUUCUUUAACUUCAAAUAAGCUUUCCUUUUGUCUGUCUGCUAUUUUCAUUUUCUGAAAGCACAGGCUAAAUUUGAUAGUGUGACAAGUAGAGGACAGUAGAACAACGUUGGACUGUCGAAAUCAGUGUGUCUGGGUGGUUGCAUAUGGAACUAGGCAUGGUAGAAGGGGUCAUUUGGAGUCUGGUUUGCCUGAGGUCCUGCUAGGUCUCCUGGGAUAAACGGGGAAGAGGAUUUUUGGACUGAUGGUAAGACCUAGUGUGGUGGGCAGACUUCUAAGAUAGUUCCCACUGUUCCCCACCUCCUGGUACUUACUCCCUUGUGUAAUCUCCUCCUCUUGUAUUCGGGCUGGACCUAGUGACCUGCUUCUCAUGAAUAGAUCAUGACAAAAGUAACAGACUGCCGCUUCCAUGUUUACGUUACAAAGACUGUGAUGUCUACCUUGCUAGGACUCUCUCUUGCUGCCACUUUUUCAUUCUCUCUCUUGCCUUCUUGGCUUGCAUGCUUUGAUGGAGCCGGAUGCCUUGUUGGAGAGGCCCACCUGGCAAGGAACUGAGGGUGGCUUCGGGUCAACAUCGUGCAAAGAACUGAGACCCUCAGUCCAAUGCCCCCGAGGAACUGAAUCCUGCCAACAACCAUGUAAGGUGCUGCAAGUGCACCUGCCCCGGGUGUAUCUUGAGUUGAUUGCAGCCGUGACCGCCCACCUUGAUUUCUGUCUUGUGAGAGGCCCUGAGGCAGAGGACCCAGCUAAGCGGUUCCUGCAUCCCUGCCCUCCAAAACUGUGAGAUAAUUGUGGAUUGUUUAAUCUGCUACAUUUUGGGGUAAUUUUUAACACAGCAAUGGGAGAGGUGCUAUGGAAGCGGCAAAUGGUGAAGGAUUCCUCUGAGCAGCCCAGAAGAAAUGACAUACCAGCGCUAAUGGAGGAGGAAAACCACACUUCAGGAAAACAAACGAAAACUUAAAUGAAUAAUAAAUUCUCAAUGUGGAAACUCUGAAUAGACAUGGAUAAAGAUAAGGGUAAAAAUAGAUCACACGUCAUCCCACUACGCACAGGGAACCAAUGUUAACAUUUUUGUAUGUUUCUCUUUGUCAGUGCAUAUUUUUAUAUUGUUGAUAUUGUUACCUUAUAUGCAAUUUUUAAUUAAAAAAUUUAAUUAUGAAAUAAUUCAAACAUGCAAAAAAGUUCAGAAAAUAAUAUGACACCAAAUACAGUGGCUUAGAUUAAAUUUGCUAGCAAUAGAAUGCCCCUUCACCCCCUUCAAUAAAAUUGGUGUGGACAAGAUAGACAUUUAUUUUUCCCUCAUGUAAAAGAAAUCUGUAGGGACUCAGUCCAGGAUGAGUUGGUAGUUCUACAGCAUCAUCAUUAGGAACCCAACUUCCAGCUCUCCGCUCCACCAUUCCUGCAAUGCCUUCAUGCUUAUAAGAUGGUUGUUGGAGCUCCAGCAAUCACAUCCACAUUCUACACCAUAGGAAUGCCUCUUCUUCUUUAAAGAGACCUCUAAGAAGUUUCGUGCAACACUUUCACAUUGUAUUGGCUCAAAUUUAGUCAUGUGGUCACAUCUAAUUGCAUGGUGGGCAGGAAAUUAAGUCUUUCAUUCAAGGUGAUGACAUUGCCAGCUAAGAAAUCUUUGCUACACCAUGGAACCACCAACUGGAUUUAACAUAUAAUACCACUUUGCUACUUUGGAUCUCUUUUUAAAUUUUUUGGAUUAAGAGUGAAGAAUUAAAGGGGCCAGCCCUGUGGUGUAGUGAUUAAGUCCA